GGAGCAGGUGCCCAGCAGCAGGUGCCCGGCAGCAGCCCGCACCGCCCACCGCACCGCACCGCACCGCACCGCGCCGCGCAGGAGCGGAGGGGCUCGAGCGAGAGGCGCGGUCCCGGCCGUAAGCAAGAAACUUUCCUCGCUCACAGAGCCCUCUUGGAGCAGCACGGCGCCCCGCUGCCAGGGAGCUCCUGGCGCCGGUCCGGCCCCGCCGCCCUUCUGGUUGCGGAGAGGCGCUCCCGGCCCGACGGACCCCGCGCCGCGUCCGUGCCGGAGGUGCCGCCAAAUCCGGACCGGAGCAGAAGGGAUUCACUGUGAACUAUGAGCGCUGCGACAAAACUUUUCUAAGUGACAGAAGCGUGCAUAAGUAAACUUGUAUGCAGAAAUUAAAAUCAACUGGAGUUGGUAGCAUCCUCUCUGGAAGUUAAAUAUCGUUCAAAGCUGGGGCGGCACGGGGGUCGGGUUGCGCGUAGCCGAUGGCCUCGGACCGUGCGGGAGUCGGGUACCGCUGCGGGACGGGCAGCAGCACCGAGGCGGCCGGGGGCAGCGCGACUGCGGCAAGGAGACGGGGGAAGGAAGACGGGCGGAGCGGCAUCGGAGAUAGCAGAAAGAAAAACUCCGCUGAGAAGUGUGAAAAGAAAAGGAGGGGGAGGAGCCGCCCACAUGCUGCCAGGAGCCGUCCCGCUGGCAGCUUCUCCUCUCUGCUGUAUCGCUGCCGAACUGGGCGCCAAGGUCAGAAUCAGAAAGUUUCUUCACAUAAACUCGUUAUUUCUAAAUAUGUCUAAGGGGUUAAAGCAGAUCAGAAUCGGCCACAAUAAGGAUUUUGCUUCCUUAUCAAUGCUGGUGAAAUGGCAGAGGGAAAUGCAGACUGAAGGAGCACAACUUUGUCUGUUCAAAGUUCUGAGUGCUCAGCUGCGUUCUUCUGACACUGAAAAAAUAUUCCUCUUUUAAGGCACUUCCCCUGCACAACAGACACAGCUCCUGUGCUACUGCGCUGCUUCCUGUAGCACUUCUGAUGGGUUCCUCCUCAGCUGGAGCUGAUGAUCCCAGCCCAUGAUGAUUCUGGGGAACUCCUCUGGGAGAAGCAAGGGGGGCUCUGGUUCCCAGCUCCGUGGGAUGGAGGUAACAGGGAGAACAAGGACUGGGAGGGGGGGGGGGGGGCUGGGAAAAGGAAUAGGUCUGUCGAUUUGCUAGAAGCCCUACCCUACAAACAGGAGGUGGGCAGACAGGCAGGGGGGAGUGCCAACCUCCCUGUGCUGGACACCAUCGUUCCUAUGCACUUACGGACUGUCAGCCUUGCACACUUGACUUGCACUGUAGCACCCAGCUUCUGCAGCUCUGGCUUUAAUAAAGUAAUGCCAGUCAUGCAAAUGAGAUGUUAUUUCAUUUUCAAUAAAUGUCACACGCUGAGCUAGGCAGUUAUGAUGGUUUUCUCUGUAUUGACAACAGGCUGUUAUUUGUACUGGGAACAAAGAAAGGAUGCUCAGCAGGAGGAUGUAUGUACUGGUAUAUAAGAAUGUGGCUUAAUUAGUGAUGUGUGACAGAGCUCCCAAGCUAGGAGUGCAGAUUUGCAAAUCCAGAUGUUUACAGAGGGCCAUGAAUUACACGACUCCAUCUAAUUACAAACUGUUUUGUUAAUCAAUGUCGCUGAGAUAGAAUAGGGCAAUUGGUUCAGAUACAAUGGCAAGAGUAUCAAUGUAUUAACAAACUAUAGUAUUUGUUAUUGGUAUUAGACUGAAACUAUAGUGGUUUUUUUGGCUUUGUUUUCAAAAACCAUUUCUGUGGAUGUGGAGAAAACGUGUGAACCAUUCACCUCGUGCUAACUAGCCCUGAGCUGCCUUUGUGGCUGCUUGGCUGCUCUGGUUUACAGAUUCAGAAUGGACUGUCAGUCUGUAAAACUCCCCUAAUGCUUCACCUGUGCUUGAAGAAAAGCACCAACUUGGAAAUAAUCUGGAGGGAAACAAAAUAAUUGAGUGAUCCUCAUAAAUUUCUGAUGAUCCAUUUCAGGACUGGUUACUGUCCUGCUCAGGCAGUGAGAGAGCUGCUUGUUUUAGUCCAGAAAAAAAUACGGGAAGACCAAAAAACCUGUUUGUUUUUUUACCUUACAGAAGCAAGUUGAAAGCUCAGAGGUACCAACUGAUACCUCUAGAAACUGAAAUAUGAUUUAGCCAUAAAGCAGUUUAAGCCAUGAGCAACAGCAGCAUUACCUGCCCUGCAUUACGUUGUCAGUGAACCCUAAUCCUGUUCUAGGGAGAUCACCCUUGGAAACUCAGUCUCACUAGGCAUUUAACUAGCUUUCCUCAUAAAGAAAGCCUCUAAGGAGAGACACCAUAAGCUUCUCUGAAAACAAGUACAGAAGAAUCUAUUGGAAGCCUUUAUUUUUUCCUUCAAGAGAACGAUUUAUCAAGAGUUUAGCUGGCUGUGUAUAAAACCACCCUUUCACGGACUGCUUGCCUUUUGAUUUAAUCCUUCUUAAGUUAUAAAUACAAGGUCUGGCCUGUAAGCAGAUAACUUAUAUGAAAUGUGGUUUGUUCACAGUUCUGAAAAUGCAGUUUGUUCUCUGCCAUAUUAGUUGAACCACAGAAAGGCAAUUCAGGGAUUCAUAUUUGCCCUUAUAAACCUCAGAUACCCCUCUUCCCUAGCAUUGCUGGGAUCUUGUACAAAGUCUGAAGAUGUGUGAAAAUGAGAUUUACAGCAAAAGAGCUCUUGCUGACCUAUACUGUGCACUACUUCAACUGUUUGAUUUGCAGUUGUAAGAGAGAUUUGCAUGUGUUUAUGGUGAUUUGCUUACAGUGUCACCUUCAGCUUCCACAGCAAGCAAUUAAGGUAUCUCAGAGAGUAGGUCGAGUCCAGUGAGAGCGCACAGCAGGAACAAAUAAGCUGUUGGGGUCCCAACCAGCAGCAGCGAUCUGUCAGCCCACUCCCUAUGGAAUAAGAAUGGCUGCAGACUUGCUGCACUGUGCGCCUGCCAGCACAGGUUUUGCACAGCAGAGCAAAGACAGAAUGGCACAGGCAGGCUGCUUCAGAUGCCAGUGGGGAACAGCACUGGGCCAAGGGAAUUCUCCUGUGGUUACUUCUUGUAGGAGAAAGCAGGCACAGAGGGUAAAACCCAGCCAGUAACAUGAACAGCUGAAGAGUGCAUAAGCUUUCCGAGGUGUGCACCCAAGAAUAACUGCCAGACAGACAGUUGCAUAUAUUCAUAUCCAAACAUUCUGUAAUUGUAUUUGGUCCAAUUAAACCAGGUUGGUUCCCGAGUUUAAUCAUGCCCUGCUUCCUAUUGAAAAAUAGUUCUGACUUUCUGCUUUCAGGUCUUACUUCUGCCCAGAGACUAUCAAACAAAAUAACCUUAGUGUUUUCCCAGUAUUUUGAUGUAUUUUAAAACGUCCACAAAGAUUGUGAUAAAAUGUUUAAAUAAAAAAUCGUGUUUUCCAGUUGCAAUUGUGGCAAAUCUCAAUCUCAGAAAUGAGCAUUUUUGAUCUUAACAGGUAGCUGUAAGCAGGAGGAUAACAGGGAAACUGAUAGAUGAUCUUUACCAAAGUGGGGACUGCAGCAGUAAAUGAAUAUAAAACUGUUGACCUCGAAGGAUCACUGGACUGCAUGGCUAUUGGGUUCUGCACCUUCUGAAGAACAAAUUUAUUAAGACAAUGUGGGCAGUGUCAUCUGCUGCUUUUCAUUGGGUGCCUGCAAUACAGUCUUCGACUUCUAAUCUCCCAUUUACACAUUACAUUGGAUAAAGUUAAAAGUGAGAAAAAUAUUAGCUCAGUGUAAAAGAUACUUGAAAAAACUAUCCUUGAGACAAUCAUUAAACAAUCUGGUUUAUAUAGCUGUAAUUGUCCAUGUAUCCAUAGCAUUGCCAAGCUUUUCUUUCUUUCCUAUUUUAAAGUAAUUUGGAUUUCAGUCUUACCUUGAGAGAGCAUCUUCUUUAGGGGCAGGUCUCUUUGGUAUUUACUGAUGCCAUGAAAGUCACCCAGAUAGGAUACCAGCAGGUUUUCUUUCAGGUGCAAAAAAUUCCUAAGCAAGCAAAAAUGCCAAUGUCAGGAGCUUGACCUGUUUUUCUUGUCAGACACUUCUGUCAGAAAAGUGCAUUGUUACAAAGAAGUAACUCAAAUUGAAAUUAUUUGCUAGUCAAAUAGGUAAUUGUAUUUUAACAGGGCAAAACCCCAACCCAACUUGCCAGAGAACACUCAGCUAAAGCCAGCAUGUGUUGGAACAGCGUGUGUGCUCACUGUAAUUGUAAAUGGGAUACCAUGGUCACGCUGCCUCUUCUGAUUUAAAAGAAUUAAGACCAACACUGUCCAAAUUUUAACUGAAACUACUAAUAAUUAGGGGUUAUUAGGGGCUGUUGGCUAGCUUUAUUUUCUGCAACAGUUCUGUUGUAUUUGGAGAUUCUAUUUAAAUCCAGAAUUAAGAGCUGUGUUUGAACAGGUAAUCCAAUCUUCUCUGUGUAAUUUAGCCAAUGAUUUUUUUUCCUGGCCGUUAGUUUUGGCUGUGUUUCAAGGUAAACGUUGAAACUGCAAUACUAAAAAUAACCUCAUUCAAUAUAUUUUACCUGAAAGGAUAUACCAGGACAGCCUACAAAUGAUUACUAAAAUUCUGAUUUAUUUACUUAUUUGUUACUUACUGAGGAAGCCUCAGUGACAGGGUACUGAUGGGGACUUCACAGUGUACAUCCUCCCCUCUAGCGGCUGCUCCUCUCACAGAAAAGUUGCAACACUUCAGCAUUUCAUCUGUACUCGGUACAAAGUGAUGGGCAUAGCAUGGAGGGAAGCUAGACUGGAAGAAGACGUUAGAUACAAUCUUUUAUGCACUAGGAAAUUCAAAUCUUGCAGUGAUAAGAGCCGUAUGAAGACAGAGAUGCACAACAAGAGCUGCAGGUUUGACAAUCUUUUUGUGAAAAACAUGUUUUUCUUGAAAGAUGAUAGUAGUUGUGAUCACCUGCAUACCAAACCAGCUUCACAGCCAUUUCUCAGUCUCUCAGACCAAUCUUUUUGUCAGCUUGUCUUGCUUUCCUAUAUUGCCAGCAUCUUACAGGACUCAUAGAGUAAAAAAAAAUGUCAGUAAGCCUAUAGAACAUCCAUCCCUCUUAUUUCCAAACAUUUUUCUGUUAUCUUUUUCUGCUAUCCCCUACAUUCUCCAAUUCAUCUGUCCUUUUGUCGUCAACAGCAGUAAACCCAUAUCCUAGUCUUCAUGCUCAUUGUUUACUUUUUUUGCUAUUUCUACUAUGAGACUAGUACCUCUAAUACAACCCAACACCCAUUCCCAAAUUGCUAUCAAAGUGAUGAGUUAAACCCAUGACUCUCAGGAGAAGAGAUCACUGCAAAAGCAGAGCUAUCCAUAAACAAGGUUGCAGAGGCACAACCAGCACAUGGAAUAUUUUGUAAGGACUUAUUUCUUGCCUGCACAAGGGGAAAGUGGCAUGCAAGGAAGUCCUGCUUUGUACUGCAACUCUGGCCAGCUUUUCCAGGCACUGAACCAGGGAUGCUAUGAAGUCUAAACAUCUCAAACUCAGGAGGUAGGCUGGAAAAAAAUCAGAGGGGAGAGAGAAAAAUCGCCAGAAUUUCAUUCAUGUCUCACAAUGGAAGCCAAACUGUGAGAGUUUUGCAGCCCUUCAACUGAAGACAUCUCUUUUUCCUCUGCUUACUGUCACCCUAUUGCUUGCAUCCACUUACACCAGUUUCAUAGCAGGGUUGGUCUCCCCAGCUGGAUUUGCCCAUUCUGGUUCUGAACAGAACAGUCUCGGUCUUUGUAACCUACAGUAACUAGAUUUCAUUAGUGUUUGUCAGUGCUCAGGCAGAAUAUACCAGCAAAGGGUAUUAGAUACCUUUUUCAUAGCACUUAUUGGAUAUAUGGCCUCAGAGUAUGUUUCCAUCAGAAAUCAAAAUCUGGCAUGAUGUGACUAUCAGAUCUGGAGGCUCAACUGUUAACCAUAAGUCAUCAGCAAUUAAAAUCCUAAUAUUAAUAUUUCAUUAAGAUCCCCUCCUUCUGAGUAACUCAAUCAUUAGUCAACUAGUCAAAUGUGUUCACAGCCUUCCCAGCAGAAUUUAGAUCAAUAAAUAGGUUAAUAAAUCAAUAAUAGUUAGAGAAUAACUCUCUAAAAUAAUGGGUUACUUACCAAAUCUUUGAACUCAGUCUGGGAUGAUUCUCACUGCAUUUAUUCCUCCCCGGAUUUGGAUGGGAAAAUUAUUAGUAGUUAGAUGUAUUUUCAGCAAAAAAAAAAAAAAAGAAGAAAUAGAAAAUUCCAUCAAAUACUGACUUACAGCUACUUUUUAUCAUAAAAUCUUACAGAUUUGCCACCAGUGAGCUCAUUAGUGUAAAUGAUAGAACCUUAUCUCAGGUUUAAAGUCAGCAUUUUUCCUUAGCUACCAAACAGUCCGUUUCCCUUCAUGACAUGAUAAUGGAGGACUUUACUCUUGAGAGCAAGGAAAAUAUUCUUCCCUGUUUUUCUAGGGCAAUCAAACAGGGCUGGUAAAAAAAUACAAGUGGACCAAGUGAGAUUUUAAUGCUGCUGGUAUCCUUGUGGAAGCCUUUUCCAAAAGAAGCAGAGCCUCUGCAGGAGAAGGAAGUGCACACUGUGACUGCCCGCAAAUUGUGCAGGACAGAUGUCACGGGAAGGCAGAAGAUGAAGGCUAAAGGAAGUAUUACUCUUUCCUCCUCCUCUGUUUUGCUCUCCAAAAUCUUUGUGACAUUGACUAAUCACAUCUUCAUACCCCUUGGUAACCCAGUAUAGCAUCAGUAUUGCUCAGUACACACUGGUUCUUCAGUGCUGGGAAACCACAGUGAAUCUGGCAACAGGUGCAGGAAGUAGAAGUCUUCUUGCUUUCCAGAAGCUAGAGAUGGCUGUAAGAGGUAUAGGGGUUAAGUUCUUAAAGACACUGGCAACUAGAGAUAAAAGCAACACUUAAAAAAGUUCAGUUGAAAAGGAUAGCUUGAGAUUACUUCAGUGGCUGAGAGAGCAGAAAGGGAGGGCAAAACCCAGCGUGCCGGCCAAACUUUCAUAACUUCAGGUUGGAAAGUACAAAUCUAAUAAGGAUAGGGUUAACCCAUAAACGAACAUAUGAACAUUGUUCCAUACUGCUCACAGUACAUCAGAAUAUCUCUAAUGAAUAAGGUCAAAGGCUACAGUGGCACUGGUCAGAGGGCUUGUUGCGUUGGGAGCAGCUGCUCAAAAAGAGGGGUGAGCUCCUGUUCGCUACGUUACAAGCUCGUCUGCUGCUUUCUGAAUUUGUAAUAUUGCUAAUUUCCAUCUUCUGAGCACAUCCAGUAUUGAAGGAGUUUGUGCCUCUGAACGAAUGCCCCAUCCCCCAGAACUCACUCAGGCAAAAGCCCGUUUGGCUCCCAGCAGUGCUGGGAAGCUCUGCUCGCAUCCUCACCCACAGGUCCCGGGGGCUGAGCGGGUGCCUGGCACGACAGCCCCCUGUGGGUUCUGCAGGCUCCUGCGGCUCUGCUCCGACCUCGGUGCGGGUGAGCUGCAAGGCGGUUCGCUUGAGUGACACGAGAGAAAAUAGGAUAGCUGCAGACACGAGAGCUUUUUGGUGAAAUGCUAUCAGUUUGCAGCAGCGCAACAAACAACAACCGCAACAUGUAGAUGCUUAGAUUUUGUAUGUCUGAAUUAAUAAAGGCUGGAGAGACGUAGCUCUUUGUGCCAUAAAUUCACUGAUGGCUUUUCAAGGAAACCUAUUACUAGUCAAGUGCAACUUAGAAAAAAAAUGCUGGAUGGAAAUAUAAUGUUUUACUUUGGGGGAGACAGAUAGAUCUCAGAAAACAAAAUGUCUUCAGUAAUGGGAACAGUAUGGUUUAAAUACUAUGAAGCUAUGAAACAAAGUGCUAUUAAUAAUGCUUGAGCCACGCAGAGCAUUGCCACCUCUAAAUACUGCUUUUUCGGCUGUGCAGCAAGUCGAGCCUGUCGACCCCAGAUGGGUCCCCAUUGCAGCAGCAUCCUUUGCAACUCCUGUAAAGCUUCAUCCAAAGCCUACAGGCUCCAGGUCCAUUUUUAUUUUCCUUUCAUCCUCUCUCAGUCUUGAAUUUACUUAACAAUCUGUGGAUUUUGAUGUUCUUGUUCAUUUCUGAAGCUGCAUUUGCACUACAAGAUAAGAGGAGAGAAAGAAUAAAAAGCAGAGCUGGUUUACACAAAGAGUGAAGUUUUAGAUUUCUGUGGUUUUUUUCAUGUUCACAGGGCACAGGGAAGUGCCUGCAUGCUGCAGUAAGCUCUGGAUCGGCUACAAAGCUCACGGCUGUGGAGAAGGGAUUUGUUAUUUAUUCAGCAUCAUAAGGACCCCCUAGUGGCACCGGUGUGGAGGGUGGCUGGGAUAUGCAGGCUGUUCUGUUCUUCCCCAAGAGCCAAAUCUACUUGUUUAGGAAACUGCUGAUGUAUGUGAACUUCAGAGAUACAAAUUGCGCUUAGCGUAGAUGUGGCCACUGCCUGGCCCAGAUUCUCAUUUACAUUAGAAUAAUUUUUGCAUGUAUAUUAAAUAUCAUAGAGGUGGAAAGAACGACAGAUUAAAAUAGGUACCUAGCUCUCUAUAUGCGUGGCUUCCACAUGAACGUUUUAUCCCUGAAAAGAAAACCCAAACAACACUAAGCUGAGCCUGUCACAAUUACCAUAUUUUCUUACAUCUUCCUUCCCAUAACUAUAGCCACAGAGCACUAGUCCAUCAGUGCCCCCAGCAGCUUGUGACAAACUGCUGUUUCAGUAAUUACUGAGCAUCCAUAUCACAUCUGUGAUACUACUCACUGGAGGGGUUCAAAUCUAGAAAGACAGACAUCGUCAUUUUUCUUUUGAAGCCGAGAUCAAGUCUGAGUCACUGAGCUGGACACUGACUGGCUCAGCAGAUCAGCAGUGGCACCAAGCAUAUUAUGUUUAUUGAACAUAACAGAGGGGAACAGUAAGAUAUGGGAUGGAAGCAGCAGUGAUACAAAGGGAGCUAGACAGCAUUGGAUAAGGAGUCAAGUCAGGUGUUGGCCAGCCACCAGGAUGAGCAUAUUCAUAACAAAGAUCAUUUGAUGGUCAGAAUCAAGAAAUAAUGGGAGUUUUGCUUUGCAGUCCCAUGUUUGGAAUGAUUCACAGUUUACCAACAUAAUCCAUUUUUAUGUGUUUGCCAGGAUUUAAAUCUUAAAGGACUUUUUGCACUGGAUGACUUUUAAUUAUUCUUUCAGCGUUUUCAUGGAUUUCUUCAUUUGGAUUAUGUAAAAUAUUUACCAGUGGCGAAGCCUAGCUGCAUUCAGUGACUCUGCAUUACUCCAUUUUGUUGGAGGGUCAGCACAAUUCUUAAAGGCUGAAGUGUAAGAAUUGUGUUGCGUUGCAUUUGUACACUGCCUGUCCUUUAUCGAUGGAAACUCACCCCACUGGCCUAAGCACUUUUGCAUGCUGGGUUUUGUUUACAAAUUGGCAGUAAUGUGCUCUAGUCUCUUGGACUGUGUGCAAUUAGUUGCAUGCAAUCUCUUUAGGCUUCAAGACUUCCUAAAUGAUGAUAGAUUCUGAAAUGCAGACCCAUCGGCUGCUUUGCAUAUUGCAUAUAUUUUUCAUAUUUCCAAGACAGGACAUAUGCAAAAUCAUUUCACUGUGGCACAAACACAAGAAACAUGAUUUGGAAGAAAGGACAGGGGCCAGAGUGUCUGUCUCUUAUUCUCCACUCGCAUUGCUGCAAACUGGCCAUCAUGAAUUCCAGGCAAUUAAAAAGGACAUGAGUUCUGAAGCAUUUUAAAAGGGGCUUUGCUUCCAAAUGCACUUCUGUAAGCGAGCGUGCUUGGAAUCUCCAGGUCUAUUAAAGGUAAAAUCUCAAGCUGCCAGCAAGUUCUUCAGAGGAAUCUCCUGGCCUUGGCAUUAUCUGUGGGCUUUGUCCAGGGACACAGCAUUUAUUUCUUAAAACUGGAGCAACCAGCAUAGUGCAGCAGCCAAGCCAGGUCACGCUGCCCAGAUUCUUCCCGGCUGUUCUGCUGACCAGUUCUGUGCCAAGCUCAUCUGCUACCCACACAAGCCUUUCCAAAAACAAGUUCCCUUCUGGCUCUUCUCCAAAGAACCACUGACUCCUGGGCUUCCCCUGACCACUGGUAUACAAACAAGGUAGCAAGAGCAAGAUUCACCCUACCUAUCUUAAAGUGAGCAAUAACAACUGCUAGUUAUAUAUUAUUGUUAUUGUUAUAUAACAAUAACUAGUAUGCAAGUUUAGCAGUAGCCUGUGUUACCUGCCGUGGUUUUUGCUUUUUAUUAUUAUUCACGUCCCUUACUGUUUUCCCUUCCCUUAUUGUUUUUGGUUAAUUUGUAAAAUUCAAGGUGAUGUUAUUUUAUUUUUUACCUUCUCUGGUUCUGUGGAAGAAGUCUGUGCCAUUCUGGUUGUGUGAGCACUGACAAGUACAUCCCUGAGAGACAACUACUUAAUUAGUCACAGGGAGGCUUAAGUCUCAAUCCUAAAUAAGGAGAUAACAUCAUGGUGGCAAAACCUGUCACCUUUGCCCAAGCAGCCUGGAGGGAGAAAGACCGUUACUGCACAGUCCAAUCUACUUACAUGAUAGAAAAGGAUACUGGGAUGGAAAAUGUAAUAAUUUAAAAACAUUCAAAGAGAAAUAGUCUACAUUUGCACGGGCUACACUCUCUUCCCAGUGCAACAAAUGAACCAGAGUAUCAGCAACUAAGUGAUGGGCAGUUAUUUAAUGAGUUAAUCUCAUUAGGAUAUUUGAACUCUCAGAAGAGGCUCAAACCAUUAGCUACACGAGAGCUUUGAAAUAAGCCUUUCAAAAGGACUGUAAGAAUAUAUUAAAAAGUGGUUAAUACACUGUGAACUUUACCAGGAUUCCCCUUGGAUCAGGCUGUCUGGCAGGAGGUUUUUACUGGGGAGCUUCUCCACAAGUCCUGCAGACACAGUCACUAAUAGGCUCAAGUUUACCCUAGAGCCCAUCAAGUAACAUCACCAACAAUUUGGAUUCCAGCAGUUUCUAAGGUUGGCCUCAAUAUGUUACACAAUUGCACCUUGCUUCCCAAUUUUUAAAUCCUUUAGCUUUAAAUCUGGAUAGUUAAAACUGGACUAGUCAUCACAUUACAUAUCUGACUAAAAGACCUGUGAUAAUACUUUUAAAUACAAGUUAUUUAGCCUCACAUUCUCUACAGUGGCUGUAUUAUUCCCUCUAACCUUUUCCUUUCUUUACCUUGAAUUUGGGCACAAUCUAUGUUUAUGUUAGUGUAUAAUUAACUAAGUUAAAAACAGCAGAGUCCCAUUUCAAACAACAUUACAUUGUCACACCAUGUCAAACAAUUGCACCUCUUGAAUUUAGAUUGUAUAACUAUUUUCUGCUCUCUGUUUACUUUUAUUAGCUCCGGUGGAAUUAUUCAUAUCAAUAAAGUGAACAGCAUUUGACCCUCUAAAAGUAAAUGAAAGACAUUAAUAGAAGAACCCAGAGAAUAUCUUCCAGCAAUAAUUAAAACUCAGGGCAGAAUAAUUUUUUCAGUCAUCAUAAAUCAUAAUGAAAAGUGGAUACCUAAUGUCUGAUUGUUCAGAUCUGCUCCAUGAAAGCAGUCAGGAAAUGUCCAGCUCUUUUAAUUGCUAAUAAUUACUUCGUAGUUUAAGAAGCAGUGAUAUAAAAGAUCCUUAUUGUUUAGAGUAUUACAAAAUUUAACUGUAACUAAUGCAUUUUCAAGAGUUUGGGGAACAUUAUUAAAGUUCAUUUCCAUGCUGCAGCUGCAGGAGUUAGAAUUAUGAAAGUGAAGAAGCUGUAAAAUUGAAAAGGUCAGCAAUGACAUUCAUCUAUUCCAGCUGUCAAAUCAAGGGAAUGUUAACAAAACUAGUCUCUGGUAGAAAAGCUAAUUGUCUACAUGUAUUUUGGCUGCUCCUAUACAUGUACUCUACUGUGGCUAAUCUAUAGAAAGACCAUGCUGGAACAGCUCAUCUUUUUUUGAUCAGGCCUUCUGCAAACAAAGGAGCCUCAUUGCCCCAAAUAAGCAAGUUCUAAUGAUUGUAUAACUCCAACCAGCCUAAAAAGCAGCCGUAUGUUCCAAGUCAGUGUUUAAAGAAAAAAGCAUGUGAAUGAAGUUUAUAGACUCCUGGCAGCAGAGUUCAACUUCCAGAGUGGUGGGAGUACAGGGCAAAUUUAGUAUUUUACUCUAAUGUUGUGUUCUUAAAAAUAGUAUUUCUAAAACGUCUCCUGCCAAGGCAUGUUUUAUUAUAACAAAAUAUAGAAAAGUCUCUAUUGCAGACCAAAUCUUUUGUAGAUGACCUGGAUUUAGUAAUCCCUCAGUGUGAAGGACCUUCUCUUCAACAUUCUAUUCCCCGCAGGGUGAGACUGCAAACCUAACACAGCUAAACACAGACCAUCAGUGAAGACUGAGUCUAGGAACUUUGCUAUUGAAUGACAGACCCCUGCCUUGUGCAGGAGGACCCUCAGCAAGGAACAGUGAGAGACUUAUGUUUUUUAUUAUGCACCAAAUUCCACCUUCUUCAGACCAUGACACUCCUCAGCAAUUGAGAGCAAAGAAAAGUGACUCCAGACCUGUAGCACGCCACACAUUCAAGGGAAUCAAGUGCUUAAUCUUCUCUAGACAAAUUCAUUGCAAGCCCCUCGGGCUAUUUGCUAUUGUUUGUUUUUGUAUUUUCACCUUAUGUGUUUGUAGAUGUUCUCAGAGGUCUACACACACAACUCUACCAACCACAAGUAGCUGACUGUCAGUGUGAAAGCCGUAUUCCUAUAUUGCACCAUAUACAUCAACUCACGCCUCAAUUUAUCUGGUGUUAUGCAAUACAGAUGUGACAGAAACAAUCCAAUUUGACCUAUGACAACAUAUUAUUAGGUCAGUAUGUAGCUUUCUGGAUAACUUUUUAAAAAUCUGUUAUCUGACCUUUGUGGUUUUUUUUUUUUUCCUAUAGAGAAGUAUUGCAAAAGCCAGAAACAAUACCGACAAUUCAUGAAAUAUUCAAGUGUACAGUUGCAAUCUUUUAAUAAAUGGAAGUGACCUUCAAAAGAGACAUCCCAAAGAUUAAGAGAAUUUCUCCAUAGAUGGCAUUUGUCACUAAUCAAUGACCGAAAGAACUUACACUCUUCAUAGAAGUGAAUACAAAAAAGAUCUUUCAGAAUUCUAUCACUUUAAAGUAAAUUUUUCACAAAGCCCACAGAAAAGAGCAUUAACAAGCUAACAAAACAACAGAACAAAACAUCAAACAGGCAAAUUGAAAGGAUACAUCCCCCUGCACCUAUUGGUAACUAUGUCCACAUUUAGAGAGCUAGAGUCAUUUGCACAUCCACACACUAUUCUCUGAGGCUAGAUGAUACUAUCAGAAUUAACUGCAUUUCUUCAACUGCAUUGAUAUGUCAAAAUACAUGCAACAUUCUACUAGCCAGUUUUCUUUUUCAUAUUCACAAAGAUAUUGGGCUCUAACUGGGUCACGGUAUUGGAACAGAUGUAAUCUCAGCAGAAUACUGUGAGAAAUCUGGGCUACAUUAAUGACUGAUCCAAUUACAGUGGAAAUCUCUAGAAAACCCAGAUUUACUAAGAACCAGGAGAUAAUUAUGAUGUACUUCUAGGGACGACCAGAUGGACCAGACAGUCUCAAACUCUAUAAGGAGACCAGAGCUGAAUGAGAGGCACCCGUGCUGUUGCCUACAUAGUUGGAGAUAUUCCCAUUCUGAGAAUAUGAUCAAAACAGACAGAUUCUUUCAGCAAACACCUGUGAGGACUGGAUCAAAACACAUCCUAUACUGGGAAGCAGCAUGGCUUAUGUCCUGCUGUGAUGAUGGGGUGACAGAGGAAUAGGUAUCCAGGAGAGAAUGAAAGAGCAGGAAUCAAGAAACCUCAGGCAGCAAGUUAUGUUCUCUCUCCUGAAUAGGCUAUAGAUGCCACCUUCCAAGGAGCAAUCUGAUACCACACCUAAGAAAACCCAACAAUCUACUGUGGAUUUACACCCAGAAGGAAAGAAAAAUACUUGAGAAAUCUGAGUAUAAACACCUCCUUUCACCAAUCCAAAGGCAGGCAAAAUUUCAUAGUAACCUUAUCUGUGAUCUUGAUAACAUCUUUCAGAGAGGUGUGCCUCUCUUACCUCUGAGUAGUCCCAUUAAGGUAAUUUGGAUCUAAGAGGAUGUAUGAUGUUAAACAUUUAGUUAAUUAUAAAUGUUGCUGAAUCAAGAUUUUUUUUCAGAUAAAUAUUUUACCAGAGAAGAUAUAUUAAACAGUGGAAAGUAAUAUUUCUUAUUUAUAGAACCUGCUGCCAGCUCCAAGCUAGUAAAUAUUUACAUUUCAGGCACUUUGAUGGCUAAUGUGACCUUUCUGUUGCACACUUUACACCUGUGCUGUAUUUUACUUUCAGUGUUAACAUCCUUUCUAGUCCAUCUUCCAUUAACAAGCAGUAUUUAAAUAUAUGCAAAUUUCAUAUUUUAGCUGAUGUUUUAGGAACAUUUUUAAGGUCACUCUGUUUGAUCUAUCAUACAGACACAGCAAAUUUAUGCACCAUAUAUCCUAUCUCUACUUGUUUUUACCUACAUCUGUCUUCUCUGAUUGCAUUUGAAUGGGCUUAUUUUCUACUUUAAAUAAAAGAUUUAUGCCUUAGCUGUCAGUUUGCCUUUAUUUGAAAAUUUAAUUUUGUUUCUAGGAGUCUAGAUUAACUUAUUAGAUUUAACUGUCCCUUGUGCUUUGCAGCGAUAGCAGAAGUAUAUUUUCCCUUGCGGAGAGAAUACAUAAACAAAAUGCUCUUAGCUUAAGAAUAAAGAAUGUUAUUACUUAGACCAAUACAACACAGUUGGUCCAGGAAACAAAAACUGAUGUUGUGAUAUUUUUUUAAUUUAUGAUGGCCAGCAGUGAGAACUGACUCAUAAAUAUGAGCUCUCACAAAUCCUGGAGCCACCAAAACUUGGAAAAUGCUUUGCGGAAAAGGUACAUUCCCCCAAAAUGUCCCCAACGCUUGGGAUAUAGAAUACCCUUUCAUGAAGCAGUACCACUGGGAAACACAACUUCAUUCUUGAUACUCAUGGAUUUAUUUAAGUGAGCAACAAAUGAGAAUCUGCCCCACUGCUUCCAGUUAGUCAGAAGCCCAUUUGUUGAUUCAGUGUGCUAUUCCACAUCUUCAGUGAGACGUGUUCUUUACUGUCUCUCAGUAGAGCUACAUUCAUAAUACUGUUCAUCAAGCCCUGGAAUUUCAGGGCUUGCCUGAAAGGAGAACAGGCUCACUGCAGUUGCUGCAUGUGGUCCUUGCAAAGCCCAAAACGGCUGUGUUCUCUGGUGGGUGGGCUGGGGUGUCUGUGGGAGGUUAAUCUUUUCAACUACGUUCAUCCAUUUUGACCUUCUUCUCUAUUUUUCAUUUCUAGAAGUACCUGGGAUUCUCAGCAACUCUGUGAUUUUUCUCUUUAUUUUGCAACAUCCACAUAGACCUGAACAGAAUCUGUUUUUAAUCAAUCCCUACACUUUUUAUAAACUCUAAAAACCUACAGCUCUUGAUUCUGUACUCUCAAUUAUAUGCACUGCUUUUGAAAGGAAUUGAAGUGUUCCCUCAUCAAUAAUGUUCCUAGAAGCGCCAGGAGAUUGCAGUAUAAGAAUAUCAGGGCAGAGAAAGUAGAAAAUUGAAGGAUCAGUAUUUACUUAUCUACUCUAGCAAGCAGUCAGUCACACAGCUGUUAACUGUAUCCUGACUCACUUUGUUAAAUAGUGAACACCAUGAGCACAAGACUUUUGUGGAGAAGCAGGGAUUCAUCAUACAAAGAAAACAAAUAUACAUUUAUGGUGGCUUUCAUCACUCACAAAAUAUCAGCAGAGAUAAAUGGCACAUAGGAACAUGAGGCCCUCUAUUCCGCCAGCCAGAGCAAUACAGCUGUUAUAUAAGAUGAUAAGCAGUGAUGAAGAAUAACAUGACCAGCAGUAAAAUAAUAAUAAUAAUAAUAAUAAUAAUAAUAAUAAAGGCAUUAAGGCAGGCAGAACAGGACAGAACUUAUCUGACUUGAUAGCCUUCAGUCUGUGACACUGUAUUUAUAAAGUGCCAACAGAUUCAAGAAAGGACAGUAAUUAGUAAGUCCUGGCAUCUUCCUAAUAAAAAAAGCAGUGAAAAUACCACAAAGCACAAUCUCUGCAUGUACAGUACUAUUAAUACAAAGUGAAGUCUUCACAGAGUUCUUCAAAAAUCUCUUCAGCUCAGAAAUGCUCUUUCAGGAACGAUCAUAAAUAUGGCCCACCUACCAUAUACCCAGGUAAAGAAUGCAGAUGAAGCUGGUGUGGUUUGAACAUGCUGGUGGAGGCACUGGGCAGGUAACCAUCUGGCAGGGAAGGCUUAUGCUCAUCUGCUCUCUUGGUAGUGAGUUUCCUUGCUGCUGAAGGGCAGAAGUAAAUCUAUUCCAGUCAUUCCCUUCUGUUGUGAUAGCAAAAAACUUAUCAAGGAUGUGUUAUGCUAAAUCCUAUGACAACAAGCAUUUCAAAGCAUCAGACAAGACAGAUAAUAAAAGGGUAAAACCUGCAAGGAAAUAAACCAUGCACUACACAUGUAAAGAUUUCUUUAUCAUGCUUAGGUAGAAUAAUCUAUUAUUGUGACCAUUACUUAGUUACAGAAUGUACCACCAAAUAACAAACUGAUCGUAUGAACCACUGCAACAACACAGCUGAUUUUUUUCCAGCUUCUCCAAAGACAGUAGUCUGGUUUUGAUUUAACAAGUAAUUAAUGAAUACAUAAACCCUGGACAGAACUUUAAUCUAUCCCAGCGCCAAAUAAUUAAUCAUUCAUUCCACGUUUAAUCCUGUUCUGAUAAAUGUAAUUAAUAUUUCAUCAUGGCACUGCAGAGUAGAAGAGUACUUGGGAGCAGAGAAAGGCACCCUUCUAUCUCUCCCCUCAUUGCAGCUCUGGAGUGAAAGGCACUGUCUACAGCUGACAGAUAGGUAAUCCAGAAUACAGCGACCCCUUGCAGUUGUACAUUAGGUUUUAUGCAUGGCAUACACUCUGAUUGUAAGGAGGCUUUUCUUCCUCUGACCUAUUAUUAAAAUAGCAAAACAAAAUAAAAACCAACAAUGAGAAAUACGUCACCAGAGCAUGGUAAACCAUUUGUCUGAUCUGACAGCAUUUGGGAAACCAGUGCUUGCAGCGAUGUCUUGGUUUAUACAAUGCCACUGAGCAUAUGUUAGGGCUGUGGAGAGAGAACAAAGCAUGUGUAGGUUGUCUGCUUCUGUCCACAGGAAGCAGCGCUAUGUGCACAAAGAAGUGGAUGAAGAUUUAAGUGAUAAUUUUACUGCAGGGAAACUCCAGCAUCUUUUGAAAACUUUCGGUGUAAUCAAGAACUGCGUUGAUAGGUAGAAAAUUAAAUUGCAGGAAAACCUAUGCUGAUUUUACAGGGUGUUUCAUCUCAGGAACCCACAAAUAUCAGCAAAGAGUUUUGUGAAGAAGAUUCUACAACAAACAAAUUGCAUUGGGAUCCUGCUGCCCAAUUACUCAGAAACAGAGGCAUCUCUUCACAGUUAUCUCCUUGCUCAGCACUCUCCUGUAUAGCCACAAAUUGUUUUUGCUGAACAAAUUUUAACUAUACGUACAAUUACAAUUCCCUCUCAUUCAAAUACAGGGGAAGAAAAACCUACUGUAAUUAGUUAUCCCAGUUGCCCUGAUGAAUAUUUACAGUCCUUGCAAGAAACCCAGCUUGUGGUGUACGAGUCUCCCAGCAUCACACACUGACACCGAAAGGAGGCUGUAAUUUAUCCCCUUCCGAAGAUCCCAUAUUAUGCUGCUAUCUCAGCUGUCGUUAAUCUAACCCUCUGUUAUGUCCCAAAUCAGUAAGGAGACAACUUUCAAAUGGUAGGGGAGUGUCUCUGACAUAGUAAGACUAAACAGAGCUACAUGAAAUCAAGUGAUUUUAGUCCAGGGGCCUGCUGGAGCUAUUUUAUAAACAAACUCAUUUUCGCACUUUGUAACUGCUCGUUGUGGUGACUGCUAUCUGUAACUUCUAGACAGCUAUUCUAGAUAAUUAUGCUGGAAAGCAUUUACACAUUUACAGAGAAUUUUGGUUAUGGAUAAUGGUUUUAUCAGCUCAGAUUCAUUUCAAAAUAUGUUGCUUUCCAAAUACUCUAAAAAUGCACCUAACCUCUUGCUACUCAAACAGAAUCUAAAAUUGUUAUGCACCUGAGUCAUUCCCCUUCUCAGAGCACUUCUCAACACUAAAAUAAAUGUAGGUAGCUUUAAGUACCUAGGAAGUACUAGUAUUAUGUUCAUAAGAACCUAAAAUGGUUAGGAGCAUUGGAUCAUUGAGGCAAGGAUCCUGAUUUUAACAUUGACCAGCACCAGAAGCUUCAAAGGAAUAAAUUCCUGCCUGGAAUAUAAUGUAAACAAUGUAAGUUUUUACUUCUUGUGUAUCUGGAUUAAUUCAACAGUUCUUUUGCACCAGUGCCAACUUCACAAAUGAUUGUAUAUGCCACAUUUUUAACUUCUGCUUGCAGCAAUGGAUGAUAUAUACCCUUGUUCCAAAAGUCACACAGCCCUGAUGGCCAGCUGCUGCACUGUCACCUCAUUUCUGAAUCCCACAAGGAAACCUUUUCCAUAUUCAUAAACAGAGCAUUCAUUUCUAAGACCCUGGAAACCUUCACUGAAGCUCCACAUUAUAAUCCAAUUGAUUCUUUAUCUCCUAAGAUCAACAAAUCCUUAACUCAUUGUAGAAAGUGUUGUGCGAUGUUUCAUAUGCAUGCACACACACAUUAUUACAUCGUUCCUAAUAUAUAUGGAUUUUAUUUCCCUUAAGUCAUCCAUUCUACUUGUUCAAAAUGGGAAAGAUUAUUCGUAGACGUGAAUCUAUCGUUCUGUGUUGGAUUUGAUGAGGCUGUAUUACGAAAAACAUCCAUCUGCUUUGUAAGAAAACUGAUGCUGAAUUGAAAGAGUAGCCAUUGACUAAGGUUAUAUCCAUUCAUGCUAAUACGACCUUCAAUUAGUGAAGCAAACACAUUUUGAGAUCCAGUCAUUUUAUCAGACACCCACUAUAGAUAAAGAAAUGCUGGUAUCCUUGAAAAAUUCUACUCGGAGGUGACCUUCCACUUUUCCAGGCUCAUUAGGCAAAACAAAAUAAUUGUGCCGCUUCUUUCUGGUCUCUCUUCAGAAGGUUUUCAGGACAUCUCAAAUUACAAAUAAUGAUUUAACCCACAAAUUCAUGCUAAUACAUAGCAGCUUAGACAGUUAACACACUCAUUUCAUGCAGUUCUCCAGAGACGCUGGUUUACAGUGUUUUCUUUUACUUAGCAGCAGCUAUUGGCAUUUAAAUAGAAACCACUACAAAUCCACUUAGUUCAAAAUUUUUGAAAGAGUAAAUACCAUUGUGGCAUCCUUAAGUCAGCAAAGAAGAAUGCAGUAGUGCCUCUUAUUUUCAUCCACAUUUUCAAGGACUGGUAGUUUUCUCACUGAGGUGUCCAAACAGCAGCAAAGCUCUUCUGAGAGGCAGACUAACAUCAGUGCUUAAGUAGCUGAAUUAUGAGAAUUUUUAUUCAUAUUCAAAAAUAUAGCACCUUUGACAUGCAAAGAAGUAGAGAUACAUAUCAUGCUCCCAUUUGCAAGGUCUAAUAUAUUUAAAGAAGUUUGUGGCUGCUAAAGAAGUAUUUAUCCAAGCCAGAAUGAAAAAUAACAAGAUGAUGAUUUUGAAUUUUCUCUGAUUUUUCUAUGAGCCUUUUCAGCCACAUGCUGUAUGCUACAAGGGAGUUAGAUACAAUGCUUAUUUAUAAACAGUGGUAUCCCUGUUAGGUCACCUAAAGAGAACUGAAUUAGAGAGAGAUGCUUAAGUACCUAAGCACAAAAAAACAAUAUCGAUAAGAAAUAAUAAGGAAGAAAUCAUUCAUCAGAAGGCUGAAUACUGGGAAGUAACCAUCAGGGCUAAGAACAGUACAGACUUCAUGAGACCAAGGAGGAUGUUAAGCCACAGAAAGACUCAGCUCUUAAAGACAAGAGACUGGCUGAACAAAGGAGGGCUUUCCCAGGAAAGGUCAAAGAGCUGGGAGGGCUGGUGGGGGAUGCCAAUGUGUGCAGCUGGUACGUGUUGGCACAGCUUGAUGAAGUCAGCUGAGGUAUAACAGCUGACAUUAAUUAAAGGUUUGGUUGCACAAGCCUAAUAGAUAGAAUGAGAUAACGGACUGAUACAAUUGGAUCAUGAUGGAUUCCCAGUGCAGGAGAAAGAAUCCGAGAUAUGCUAUAUUACAUACAUUAAUACUCUCCCAUUUAGUUUGCUGGCAUACUGUCUUUUUGUUUGCUAACUAAAAAUAAUAAUAAAAAAAACAGUUUGUUAAACAUCCCUUUAGUUUGUGUGUACCCAAAUACGUCCUAGUACCUUGUUUCUUUUGAAAGCUGUCUGCUCAUCUGAAACUAUUUCAGUUAAAUUGCCCUGUAGCACUGUCAUCAUGCAUGCAUUCAUGCUUCUUCAGCACUCUCUCAAGUAGGGGAGCAUGGAGACAUUUGUGGGCCUUCCAGCAUACUGCUACAGCCCUGCUAAGACUCACAGCCAGUGAGAUUCUAAGGACGUAGAGCUUUCUCUCAUGAAUCAUACAAAAAGAGCUCUCUCUAAAUCAAACUUCAAGCUGGUAGAGGGCAGUUAGGCGCUUAAAUCACCAUUUGCUCUGAAGCUUUGAAGAGGUUUUCAUAACUUCGGCAAGCAAAUGUUUGCACUGCUUCCACAAAAUCUCUUUCAGCCAGGGGAUCAGGCUGGACAUUAAAGCCAGGCUCCCAUCCCACGACCGGCUCCUGCUGAAAUUUAGCUCCCUAAAUACUGCUGUGACCACAAGACUGGUGUUUUUCACAUUUCUGAGUGGAAGUUCUUGACAUUUACCAUUUCCCUUUCCCUCAACUACACGAACUGCAGCAGCGGAGAGCAGGACUCUGCGGGAGCGUUCUGUACAUCCUCCCUGUGCCCCGUUGCCAGAGCGCAGCCCGCGUCGCUGCUGCAGCACCAGCCCCACCUGCUGCCCCGCGCCGGCAGCUGCAGCCGGAGCCAAGGCCGGCCGCACAGAGCGAGCCGGCAGCGCGCUCCGCGAAGCUCCUGCUGCUGUUGUGGGUUAGCGGUAUUUACGUGACCUUUUCCCGGACGGCAGUCUAGAAACUCGACUUUCUCUACGUUAGUGGAAAGGAAUAAAAGCAAUGAAGGAAAAAGGCUCCAAAAUGAGUGUGGGUAAGUGCAGUCAUUAAGGUGAACGCUUGAGUGGGAGGCCGUCGAGCAGCCCCAAUGCACCUCUGCUGAGUUUCUCGGAGAGAAGGCAGACAUAGUGGAGCAGGACAGCACAUUCACAGGAGUGCGGCUGCAUUUCCUAGAACGCUGUUUUGAAUUGCACCUUUGGAGCAAAGGAAUAUCUCAUUUUCCCGAGACCAUCUUCUGUUGAGCUGCCAACAAAAAGUUUAUGUGCAACCCAUUAAAAUACGUAUAUACACUGCUGACUUCAUGCCCAUGCACACUUUGCUCACAACUUGCAGGAAUGUGUGUCAGCUCUUCUUAAAAGGGAUUUUCUUUCUCUCACAGCUGUUCUGACAGAAGACCUUCUGAUGUCCCCCAGACCACAGCCUGAGAAGCAGCCUGGCAGCCAGGCUAUAGGGAUCCCUCGUUUAUCAGUUAUUUGAUUCAUUCCAUUCAGGCUGAUACAUCUUCCUGGCUUCGUUGCUGUUUGAUUUAACUUCUGUUUCUAGCAUCUGUAGUGGAUUCUUUUAUGUACAACCACCUAAAACCAUGUCUUGUACACAGGUAGCAAAAGCAGUGAUUUGAUAGCGUGGUGUGCAUUUUGGCAAUGUACUUUAUCAAAGAUGUAUUUUGCCUGCAGCAAAACGAGCUGUCAGCUGUUACAAUGAACUGUCACAUAUUCACAUUUUAAUAUGAAAAAUAAUUAUUCCUCCGUUUCUAUUAAACAGCUACCUAUUCUUCAGGCUGGAAAUCAGAACUGCUUUCACAGAGUAUCCAGCUCGCUACUGAAAAGAUUAAAUGGGUCGAGUGUAACACUGUAAAUAUGAUCAAGGCAAAAAGCCAGUCAAUAAAACUGACGGUUUUAUCCUAAUAAAGCAGGGAGGCCUCUGCCAUUUCUCUGUGGCAGAUAGUUAAUUGUCCAGCUGUACGCAACAACUUCAGGACAUCUGGCCACUUAACCAAAGAGUACAAGGUUUGGAAUGCCAAAGGACCCAUAAGUGAAAUAAUGAGUGGUCUGACUCAUUUAUAGUGAAGUCCCUGCACACGGCUCUGACAUCAGUGGUCAAAGCUAAAUUAACGUGACUGCAAGUACUGCUCUUACUUCAUCCCCAACACCUGCCUUAAGAUACAGCUGGGUGCACCAAGAGCAGCAGUGGUCCCAGCUGGGACACAGACACAACAGUCUCAGCCGAGAUAGGGUGGCUGCCUACUGCUCUGCUCUGCAACAAGGUUGUGGCUUACCUGUAUCCUAAUUUAGGAUGAAGAAUGAGUUUGAAAAGUAUGACAAACAUACAGUGCAGUCAACACUUGGUACUGCCUCUGCGUAAAAUUAUGAUUCUUUGCUUCAGUCACUCUAAAAGCAGCUUCAGCCCAGGCUGAAACAUCAAUGGAGUUAUACAACUAACCCAGCCAUCUCCUCCCCCUGCAAGCCCUUCCGUGAGACCACAGGUAAUACUGCACACACAGAGAUCACCUUGCUUUAUCAUACACAUGAAACUAACUUUUGUUGUUAUAUUCAGGGCUUAAAAAUAGACUUGAUGUAUGGAUUUUCUGUUUUAUAGGCAGAGCAAAGAUUCAAUAUAUUGAUUUGAGCUGUAAGGCUUACUUCAUUCAGGGUGCAAUCAAAGCAUGUGGAUUUCUACAACUUCGGGUGCACAGUUUUGGUCAGACUGCAGGUGCAGAAGUUGUUAGGCAAGCCUGCAGGAGCAUGUUAGUGGGCAACGCUGACAUGUCUGCAUGCUUUCAUUCCUAAAAUGAUCCCAUGUCUUGUGCUUUUAGUGAAUUCAUUUCCUCCAGGAUAGCUCUAGAGAGCAGUUAAGAGACACCUUCCAAUAAGGUAACUUCCCUCACUGCCAUUUUAUCAAGACUUAACAUCACUCCUUUCCAUGUGGUGAGUUUAAUGCAGGUAUCUUUGUUAUCUCACAAGAAAGGCAGUGAUGAACUUGGAAGGCCAGAAGCUUUGGUGAUUCUCCUCCCCUGCCUGUACUCUCAGGAUCAAUUAUAAGGAGGCUAGGCUACUGCAUAUGCAAUUUACUGGAGAAGUGAUAGGAAGUUUUACCAGCUUACCUGUUUCAUUCUACUAGCAAGUUAUCACACAGCAGCCCCCAGGCACCCCCAGACUACAGAGGGCUUCCUAAAUACAGGAAUGAAGCAUUAACCCAUCACACAGAGAAGGAAAAUAAGAUAAGGACACUGCAAGCCAGGGGUAAAAACAGGACAAGACACCAAAUAUCCCUCUUCUCAAGGUGAAUUUCUCCUCUACUGAAAUGGACGACUGUCCAUCACCCACCAUUUUGCUUAUGCUUGUUCAGUUGCAAAGAAAUCUAUCUGAUGAAGUGAAACACCACCUCCAAGAAAUGAGGUAGCCGUUAAGUGAGAAUACUAGAUUCACACAAGCUUCGUGGCAGAUGCCUUAGGACUGAUCUGUUCAACCUGGAAUGGAAAACGAUUUGCUUUUUUUUCCUUCCCACAGGGCAUAAGUCUUCCCUGUCUCUCUGUUGUGCUAGUGAAAGCAAAUUUCACCAGAAACUGAAUCCAUUUACAAAUAUUUUGAUAGAUUGAGACAGCUGCUCAGGAAAAAAGAAAGAUUAAACACAUGCAGUUAAGAUACAGUGUCACACGAACAGCUGUUGCAGAGACCCACAGCCUAUGUGGACUUCAUUUUAUUUAUGUCUUUUAAAGAUCAUGUGGGUUUCCCUGUAAAAUAGAAAUAAAGUGAGCACUAUUUCUGUUGGUAAUAAAUUAAAGAAAAAUCUCAGAUAAUUUAUCCUCCAAAAUGCACAGUCUUGACUGUUUUUACUUGUUUUGGCAGGAAGACAGACAUGCAAAAUGUACAAGCACUGCUCUUGUAUACACUCACGUCUCAUUCUAUAGAUCUGGUUGGCAACUCCUUCUGAGGCUCUCAGUUUCUGACUGGAACAGGUCAUUAUGUGUGCACCUCAAUCCAUCACUUCCGAAGCAUCCUGUGAAGAAAUUGCCAUUAGAAACCAGUGUAGCGAAACCAACUACCUUCUAUCUAAAAGCAUGACUUGCAUUUUUGUAUCACAUCUCAUUCUUUUUAUUCCUAACAUUACCUAUCUAUCUGUAUAGUUACUUUCUGUAGCAGCAGAGAUCAUGCUGUAUCUAUUUUUACUGCACCAAUUACUGCUAUUUUAAGACUGUAUAGAAAUGUCUACAAAUAAAGAUUAGCUGAAAGUUCCCAAUGCUUUCCCAUUGCAACUGUCAUUUGAACCUUAUUAUAAAAGCCCGUACCUAUAGCAGUUAUAAUUGAUUGUUUUAAAUUCUGGACACCUGAACAGUGCAGUACUCAUGUUUCAAAUACCAGGAUCAGUCUACAAACAAAGGGCAACAGAUUUCAGAUGCAGCUGUUGCACUGAGUGACACAAACGGACAAAUUGCUUCUCCAUAAAUGCUACCAUUUACUAUACCUCUCUUGUCCAGGCUCCAUACUGAGUAAUCGCUAUCAGCACAAAACUGUGAUGCUUUACUGCAUAUACACAUUACAUUUUCUUACCUUUACAGAACUAGAGGUACAUAUUUUGACACAUAAAUGCACAUGCUUAAUCCAUCACUGGAAAAGAAAAUGUAAGUGAAGGAAAAUAACUCUCUCUACGUAUGUAUGUAUCACUGAGAGUUCAAACAAUCUUCUUUUCAGGUGAUAAGACCACAAUGCACAGGGAAAAACAAGCUAGUUCAAUAGGAUCAGAACUUAAACAGAAAAUGCAGGGUGCUCAGAUUACAGCAGUGAAGUAGCUGUGCAUGGUCAGAGCUGCAUUUCACGUGAGCUACCCUCUGUGACACUCAUCGGGUGAACAGGAAGGCUACCUCAGAGCUCUUCACCUGUUGACACCUGCCUGGUGGCGGCUGGAACAGGGCAGGACAAGGUAGGGUCCUGCAGUGCUGAACAGGCUGCUCGUCUUCAGACAAUCAGUACCGCAGGAUGUCUUUGCUCUUUUGAAUGUAAGAAGUCAUGCAGCACCCAGCAUGAGUCCAUAAAGAAUUUAGGGGUGAAGAAUUUAGGCUAGCUUGAAGGCAAAUCUCACAAGAGUAACAGUGCCAAGAGUUUUUAAAGAGUAAGCUUUUUGCCCCCUGACAAAAAGCUGAUAAUAAAAAUAACCUAUAAAUGCUCUAUUCAAAUGUAUAAGAUGUCUCUUAAUGCCUGUUGUUCUCCAAGAGCUUUUCUUGUCAAAUUCUACUUUGCAGCUAAUGAAAAAAAAUGUCUCCAGUGUUUCAUAAUGACAGGACACAGCUAGUUUAACGCUGCUGAGGAUUAAGGAGGCCUUGAACACAGCAACGUUUGUUGUUUGCCACAUCAGAAAACAAAUGCCGAACCACUUCAUUCAGGGUCUUCUAUUCAUCAAUCUCUUAAAAAAAAAAAAAAAGCAAAAAAGAAGGAGCAAAACAUCAGGACUAGAAAUAACACUGUGUGGAACAACAUUCUCAGCACUAGCGCCAGCUCACUGGGGAGCUGCUGCUUGUGAAGCGGUGUCCUGGGUUACCAUCAUGCAAAGCUCAGAGACUAUUUAGCCCAUAUUUUCUUCUACUUCAAAAGUUUAGUGGAGAGCAGCUAAGCUCAUCUUUAAGAAAUCUGCUCGUAGGGCUGGCCAUUGACAGCUAGAUUAUCUCUUUGUAUUAUUUUUCUUUUGAAAUUUUGUCAUUUGAUAACACAGUCCACUUUGCAUUUGCUGAGGUCAGUGGGAGUCUGACCUCUGAUUAAAAAGCUUUUUUUGCUCAGAGUCAAAAGACAAAAAGCACCUACAGUUUCACACGGGACUGUAGGAAAACAUAUCACGUCACGACGUGGACAACAAAGAG
ensembl:lncRNA